rnacentral:misc_RNA from 1 species
UUGCGAAACAGUGAAAUAUUCAAAAAGUUAUUGUGUCUAACUACUAUUAUUAUCUAAAUCCAUGAAAAUAUGUUAGCGGCGGACUCAAUCUACUAAGACUAAUAGUAUUUAAUUAAGACAUUAUGGAAAACCCAAGAGAUGUGAUCAUUCCAAGUACAUCGUCACCUGUUCAUGUACACAUAGACCAGGAUACUCCAUUGUAUGUACAUGUUGUAAAAAAGCCCAGUUCAGUAAGUUCAACUAAUGCAGCUGUUAGUAUUUAUAAACAAAAUCUUCGUGGAACAAAUGAAACACUUAUCAGAGAUCAUUGGAUACCUCCUCCAGCCAAAUCAUCUAGAAUUAACAUUUUAGGAAAGAAUCUGAAACAGAAAGAAAAAGACCAAAUAUUUGAAUUAAACAAGCUGAAAGAAGUGCAAGAUGAAGAGAAAAUAAUGAAAACAGAUUCUAUUAAAGAAAGCAAUCAUAGGUUGCUAAUGUGUGAUUUAACAAGACUUCCUGAGAGUUCAGAAAAUGCACUACAUUCAUUGUCCAAUAUCUCACCCUUUCAAAACAAGAGUGAAUUUGAACAAGCUCAGCUGAUAGUCAAACAGCAACAAAAUGAAUUUGCAAAAUUAAGAUCCCUUCUUGGUCAGCAGGAAAGUCAACUAAAAUUGUUUCAACAGGAGAUAAAUUUGUUGGAGAAACAGAGCAUGGCAAUGCAAUCUUCUCUCAUCUUACUUCAGUCACAAAGUGAAAUUUUCAGUGAGACUGAAAGGAAGUUACCAGAACCACAAGACCUUUAUACCAAAGUUGCUGAUGUUGAGAAGCAGAUGAAAAGCUCAGCUGCGACUACAGCUGAAUUGGAAAAAAAUAUGAAGAGUUGGAUACCAGGAAUGAAAGAAGACAGUUGGUGGCAGAAGUGGAUGCUUUCUCAGCAUGAACAACAACAAGAUCUUUUCAGAAAAUUAUUGGAUUCACUGCAAUCAAUGAAAAUAGGUGAAAGAAACCAAUCUAAAAAGGAAGAACUAAACAUUAACUUUCAGAACUUGAAAACACAGCUGGAUGAGAAACAGGAACUUCUACAGGACAUGAAAAAUGAGCUAAAGAAAGUAAAGAGUAAAGUGGAAACUUUAGAAUGUCAGAAACAGGCUUUAGAAAAUGUGAAAAGUCAUUUGCAAGGAGAACUGAGAAGCAAAGAGUCAGAGCUGGAAAGAUUAAAAGUACACUUAAAACAAAGUGAAAAUCAUGCUUCCCUGGAGGAACAGAAAAAAAUUAAAUUUCUUUUAGAAGAGAUACAAAAGAAGACAGCUGCAGAGAAAGAGGCACUAAAGAAGGCUGUUAAAGUCCAAAGACAGAGGGCUGAUAGCAAUGAAGAAUUGGCCAAGAAAAUGACUCGUUUGGCACAAGAAAAGGAACAUGUACUUCUUGCACUGACUCAAGAGAGAGAUCGGUGGAAAUCAGACCUGACUGAAGUGAAUAAUCAAAAGCUGGAAGCAGAGACCCAGUUAAACAGUUAUAAAAAACAUGUGGUGGAACUUGAAACAAUUAUCAACAAAAUUGACACAUCUUACCAGGAUCAGGUGAAAAGUGCUGAAAGUGGUCUUCAGGAAAAAAAUGUCAAACUUGUCCAACUAGAAGUAGAAAAUAAGAACCUUCAGAUAGAAAAGGACAUUCUUGAAAAUAAGAUCAGAACAUUGGAAGAAAGGCUAGUGCAGUCUGACAUGAAGUUACAAAAGAUACUUUCAGUGGAAAGUCUUGGGCAACUUGAAUCCCUGUAUAAGGAAACUGAAACACUGAAAAAUCGUUUGAAAGAUGCGUUAGAGAACAAUAAAAAAUAUGAAGAACGACACCAAAAAGAUAUUAAACAAAUCUCUCAUUUGAAAUCUCAGAUUGAAAUUAUUCCUAAAGAUUUACAACAAAUCAAACAUCAGGUGGAGCACUCUAAAAAUCAAGAAACUCAGCUAGAAAAUACAAACAGAAUACUUCUAGAUCAGAAGCAGUUAAUAGAAGAUUUGAAAAAAGAACAGAGACAAAAAGAAGCUUCUGUAGAAAAAUUCAUGUCUCAGCUAGAGGCAAAAGAUGAAACAAUAAAAAAACUUGGAGAACGUCUUCUGGAGGUUCAGACAGAGACUCAAGAAAAGAUACACAAAUUACAAACACAACUUUCUGUUCAGGAAGAAGUCAGCCAAGUUAGAAUGUCAGCAUUACAGGAAACCCUUAAAACUACCAAGCUCAGGGCAGAUAAAUUACUUAAUGAAAAGGAAGAGUACUGAUACUUCAAGAAAUAAGCAGCCGUCUUUUCAACUCGCAUGAAGAAUGUAGUUUGUUAUUGAAAGAUUCAAAAGGAGCUUCAGAAGAAAAUAGAUGAAGUGCGGGAACAGUUAGAGCACAGCCUGUCUACUAACAGAAGU